UAUGAAAUGCUCUAUAAUGUCUUAUACAAAGACAAUUUUAUUAGUGAAAAGUUCACAAGGUUCUUGUAUACAAAGUUAUCUGUUUACAAAUGUGGAAAAGUUAAUAUUUAAAACAUUUCCAUACAGUACAUGAUAUUUUUAAACUUUAACUGAGUGUUAAAUAGACAAAAAAUCUGAAAAUUUUGUUCAAGAAAUAAUACUUAAUGAGAAAGAAAACUAACUUUAAAGUACAAAAUACAUUUUGCUUAUUAGGACUAAAUUUUCCCCAUUUUGAUUGGCACUAAUAUUGUUAAUACAUUUUUGAAUGUUCAAUUACAGAAAUAAAUUCUGUAUAAUGUCU